rnacentral:lncRNA from 1 species
UUUGGCAUGAAGGUGUUCACGCAUCAUCUUCUCUUUCUUCUUUUUCUCUUCUUCAAUAGAUCUCAUGUGAAGAGAAGAGAAAAGAAAGAGGAAGAUAAAUCCAAUUGCUGAAGGAUAGAAACCUCCAAGAGAGCUAGCAUCCUGAUGGUUUCAUAGGCUCAUGAUCAAGAUCUGCCCUAUGCGGAUAUCAGUAAAGGUUGGAUGUAUAUGUGGC